rnacentral:rRNA from 1 species
GCAAGUCGAGCGGUAGCAGGUCCUUCGGGAUGCUGACGAGCGGCGGACGGGUGAGUAAUGCUUAGGAAUCUGCUUGGUAGUGGGGGAUAGCUCGGGGAAACCCGGAUUAAUUCCGCGUACGUCCUUCGGGGGAAAGCAGGGGCUCUGUCUUUUCGGAGACUGGACCUUGCGCUAUUGGAUGAGCCUAAGUCGGAUUAGCUGGUUGGUGGGGUAAAGGCCUACCAAGGCGACGAUCCGUAGCUGGUCUGAGAGGAUGAUC